UAACCAACCAGCUUUGAAGCUUUGAAGAUGCCCCAUUUCUGUACUUUACCACAUCCUUCCUCGCCUGUGCCAGCCCUGAAUUCUCACUGCACAAAGGCUGUGUGUGACUGGAGAGGGCACUGGGUGCCAGCCUCAGUUUUGCCUCUGGUCUAGAGAGCUGCAGGAAAUGAGGCAGCUCUGAGGUUAUGGUCACUAUUGCUAGAAGAGCUCUCCCUGUUUCAUGUCUUGCCUCCCACAUUUCUUCCUUUUCCUGGUAAGCAGCAGGACAGGUCCUCACAAUGUUGUGGCAGACACUGGAGAAAUUGUUUAUUUGGGCUGCCAAAUAGCCCAAAUAAUUCCAAAAAUUAUUUGGAAUGCCAAAUAUCAGGCAUUCCCUUCCCCUCCAGGAAGAGGUCACAGGGAGGCAACCUGAGGACUUGUUGCCUGCUCCCUCAUCUCUGCAAGACCCGUCCUGCAAACAGCAGCACAAGCUGGUCUUGUCCACAGCCCUUCUGUAGAUUCUUUGACUCCAUUCUCUACCACCCCUCAUUCUCACAAUCAAAGCAUGAAUAUGGCCUUUGCUCAGUGCAGGGGGAACGCAGAACACUUCUUUGGGAACAAUAAAGCCUUCCAUUGGUAGUGGUCAGUAGAUCUGAGAAUGUCAGGUCACCCCAAAGUCAAGUUCUCAUUUUCUUUUUGUACCUUUAUUGCAAGAUAAAGAUCUUCAUCCUUUUCCCCCCUGCAAUGAUCAAAUAAUUUUUUCCCACUCUCAAGAGAUCACCACCUUCUUAUAUCAAAUUCAGAGGGACAAAAUCUGCUCUGUAUCCUCCCUUGACCAUGGAAAUCUGGGAUAGCUCCAUUACUUUCAAUGAAUUUGCUCAUGAUUUGCAUUGAUGUAACAGAAGCAAAUCUGGUCCAGAGAUCUGAACCGCAGUUGCCAAGGCAACGGGCAGCCGUUUAGGAAGCAUAAGACAGAAGGUAUGUUCUGUGUUAAAGUGGAGACUCCUGCAUUCAGUUUUCAGCCAUGGGAUGAGAAUGUCGGCUAUAUUUGGAGUCCAAGUCCAGGUGCAAAAGAGCCUACAGACAUGAGGUCACCAGCAGGUGAGGGCAAGGAAAGAGCACCUGGAGAGAGGCUGUCAUCUAUCCUGAGGUGUGCUAUUGGAGGGCUGCUUGCUGAAACUGGCAUCCAAAAACCAGCAGAGCAUCCUGCAGUGUGUCUCUGCUGUGCACUGUGAUGGCGUCAGAGUGGUACCCACCAUCUGAAGGAGGCGCUCCUGGGACUGGAAUUAUUUCCCCUCUGCCUGUGGAGUUCCCUUGUGCCCAGAAUAAUUAGCAGGGCCAGUAGCAUUUAAACACAAGCACACAUGACUGUGUCUCUGAUAAUGACACUGGAAAAGUAACAGAAUCUAAUUAUAAUUAGAAAACAGCCCCAGCAAUGUUCCAGCAUCACAACGACCAUCCUGACUUUGCCACAACAAGUGUAAAAAUACAUCAGCAUAUUUAUAGCUUGGCAACUCUGUCCACUUGCAGCCUGGUGACCAGCCCCCUCUUGCCCUAUUCUGUGUUCCCUGCUGUGCUUCACAAGCAGUAAAUAACAGUGACUGAUAGGACUAAUGUUUAUAUAGUGUCUACUGCCCAAAGAGCCUAAUUUUAUUUUUUUUAAAUUACUUGAGCCACCUCUUAUUCUAAUCUUCCUGACCUGAGAGACUGUAAAUUGAUGUAGAUUAUUAACAAUCCCCAAGUCUUGUAGGACACAGCAGCAAGGCAGGCUGAGAGUGACAGUGGAAACUUGAAAGGUGCUUUGGACUAAAACUUCCAGCUUUUUAAGAUUCCCUUACUAUUGCUCACUUAAUUUAGUAAUUAAUUCCUCAUUUCUUCAUCCACUACACUGAGAUUCAUAAAAGCAGUUUUCAGGAUUAGUCUCUCUGACAUCAGCUUGGGCAAGGCAUGGUUUUAGGAAAGACUCUGUGGUGAGAGUGGGAUGUGAAUUUGGUAGGUGAAAGUUCUGCCUGCAGGGUAGGAGGAGGGAGAUAUUUUGCAGGAGUUUGAAUGAGUUGCAACAGGACCAGAUAUUCCAUCUCAGAUAAUUUCCUUUACUUUGUCUCUUAGCCUGCCCUGCAGUGUUGCCAUAAGAACCCACAGAGCUGCUGUGCUCUCUUUUGGAGGUGUCUGCAUUCUGCAGGGAGAAUUGAUGAUUUAUAGAAACACAGAUUUGCACGUAGCCAGUGCAGGAAUCCCUCCUGAGCAGAAGGCAGGAGUGCAGGCAAUGCUUUCACUGCAGCUCAGGGGUCACUUUCUAGAUAUUUCCAGUGGAUAUUUCCAGCACAUCCUCUGAGCCCACAGGUAGUUUCUUGAUUCCUUACCUCCAGUUUUAGCUGUUCUCAGCUGUGCUCUAAUGUUCCUUUCAGCUGCUCUUCAGUGGUCAAGGUCUUUCUGCACUUUUAGUUUCCUGACUGGUGAAAUGUUUGGAUUUUUCACUGUUUUCAUUUCACUGCUUAUAUAAACAAAAUUCUAGCUAAAAAAGUGAAUUACAAGCAACUCAAGCCCUUCAAUGCUUUCCCUCCUAUAAAACUUUCUUUCCAACUGACAAAUUUUUUAACUAGUUGCAUGGAAAUAAAGGGUCAGUUCUGUCACCCUUUCCUGUAUGA
rnacentral:lncRNA from 1 species